GGCCUCGUGGCCCAAUGGCAAGGCGUCUGACUACGAUGAGUUGAGUCUGUAAAGACCCGAUGUCGCUAUCAGGAGAUUCUGGGUUCGACCCCCAGCGAGGUCA